UUCUGCAAUCCUUAGGUAGAGCUGAG
rnacentral:misc_RNA from 1 species